CAUAGUCUUCAGCAUCAGGUUGGUGUCUGCACCUUUGCUCCAAAAUUGUGUAUGCCUGCCAGUUCAUGCAAAGUUAAUCUGACGUUCCCUCUAGCAUUAUAUUGAUCUUAAAAGCACAUGUAUUGUAUCAUAAUUAUAGAAUUACUGAUCCAUACCAUUAUAAUUAUUUCAGAUUCGUCACAGAUCCGUUUUCUUUUUCAUGAAGUUGGCUGGGGCUUUGGCCACAUGACAACUUUCAUUUGUAAUAUAGAAGAUAUAAAUCAGUGAAGUUGAUGUCAUACCACUCAUGUUUCAGCACUGUACGAACAAACUUUGAGAUCUAUAUUGCCAUCCCAACAGAUGAAGACAUGGAUUACAUAUUAAAAGUGCAUCAAUGUUCUGUCGUUCAACACAAUGUGUGGGUAUAUCAUUGACAACCAAUGGUUUUUUAUGCCUGAAAAAUACUUCAUCGCUGCAAUAUGAUGCAGGGCUCCUGAUUCCAUGGCGUGCCUUGGUCUUUUGGCGGGCAUAUUUAAAGUUGAGGGAUCUUUUAUUCCAUUUCAAUGUGCUCUAGAAAUCUUCUGCCGGCUCAAGUGCUCAUGUCAAAGAAUAUAGUUGUAUUUUCCUUGGAUUAUUCAUUUGCCUUGCAAUGUUGAUGGAGAAAAGGCAACCAAAUUAUUCAAGGGAUAGAGAUUGUUAACGAAUA